rnacentral:lncRNA from 1 species
CUGAAAGGGAGAGGUUUUCUUGAGAGCUACUCCGUAAUCUUUGUCUCGGAAGAUUGACCGUCACCCCUCUUUAAGGAGGUUGUCUGAUGGACUGCCUGAUUCAGGAAGGAACAAGGCUGGUCAUUAAUAGAAGGGGAGAGAGGGAGAUGCCUCACCACUAUCCUCAGAAGCUGUGUUGAUCAGUGACUGGUGAAGGCUAAGAAAGUUGAAACAAAUUUGCAGAUGAUAUACAACUUCUAAGGUAAGCUGAUAUAACAACUCA